GUUUAUGAUAACGCGGAAAUAAAAGUCACUAGCUACGUGGUUCUCGUUCUUCGGAUUAAUUCGAUAAACCUCGAUCACGAAGCGGGAAGCGUAAUGUGGCAUGGUCAACUUGUCGGAGAAGAUUCCAAGAGCGGUCGCAAGGUAUGGGGAUCUGUCAUCUGUGCCUGAUCAGGGAUUUCGAAGACUGCACUGGAAGCCUGCCUUAUCAGGUCUGCCACUGCUGGAUGAGAUUUCAAGUGGUCCGACAUUUCCUGUAAAAGUAUGCGUGGCAUUGGAGAGAAUUAGAAAUUGAGUUGCCGAAAAGACAAGGGAAUAAUUACCUUCAAAUGUUGCUUGAAAAAUUUCUCAGCAACAGGACACGCGCAGUCCGUGUUACAAAACGCGUAACUCUGGCUUUCUUGCAUAGUAACUUUAGCUAGGUUUUGAAAGCCAUCGGUCUCUAAUAGGGCAUACAGUAAUGCAACUGCGCUCUGAACAGUUCUUCUAUAUCUAGUGCUAUACACAACGAUGUCUUUGCUGGAUAUGGUGCCGUUUCCAAGAUUAAGCUUAUGUCUUUAGAGUUGGCUGGCAGCAUAGGAAAACCAUGGAACGGUCCCAGGAAUUGUGCCCAUGCUGUUCUGGAAUAACUGGAGACGUUUUGUAGAAAAUUUACAUAAUUCUGGUACAAGUUCUCUAACUCAGGUAACAGAAGUGCAGGAUAAAAAUGAUCUGUGCAUGAGUGUGUAUAUUAAAGGGUUUAAAUACAUAGCUUACAGGAGAAAGGGUGAAAUAAUGUAAAAGGACGAAGACAAAAGUCGCAACAUCAGUGUCCGGAUUACCAGCAACGAGGAGGAAGAUCCAUACGCUUAGAAUCACGUAGCAGUAAAACGCUCGAUGCUGGUAGGACAGCCGAACCAUUUCCGCCAACAUUCUCUGGCCGAUCCUGGACCGUGCCAGAUCCUUCCAAUUCGAAUGUCGCGACCUCGAUGACGCCGACGAGGACGUCGUUGGCGACGAUAACACCGAGUCAAACAACCAGAAUAAAUCCGGUUCAACGAUGCUUCUCCAAACUGCAUCCUCCUUUUUCAACGGCCCAGUCACAUAAUCCUUCCGUCACGAUCUCCGAGCGAUCGAGGGACACAGGGAUCAUGCGAACGACGUCGUGGAGAGAAUUUUUUACGCCCGUCCGACUUCUUAACACCGGCUCGAACAGGAAUAUGUCGAUGGGCGCAGGCGCUUGUCUAUUUUUUGACAUCUCUUUCAAUUAAAUAUAUAUUAUUCUUAGGUAUUUUCUUCUUUGUUUGCUUUUUAAAUUUCUGACUGAUGGACAUUAAAGGCGUUCAAUAGCGUUAAUUAUAUUCAGCUCUUUAUGUUAGUAUAUUAAAGGAAUGUAGACACAGUAUCGACAAUUAUCAUUCAAAUUAUUGUUAGAUAUUAAAAUUUUUCAUAUUUUUCAGUUAUGCGGAUACGAUUUGGCACGUUGGUUGAAAAGUAUUGAAUUUUUUUGCGCCCCUUCGUUAUUGCUGCAGGUUAGUAUCUAAUACACAUGCUGCUCUUAUCUUUCCAACAAAAAUGUUUCUUUGGAUUUUAAUUUUUAUUUCAUGUUUGCUGUUUUAGAUACAUGGAUAACAGUACACGUUUAUGGGGAGAAGGCUGAUAAACAAUCUUUUUCUUGAAAAUAAUUUAAGAUUACUUUAUUUCUUAUUACUUCAAUUAUUUAACAUUCUUGAAAUGUUAAAUCUUUUAAAUUCACGGUAAUAACAACGAAGUUGUGCUAUAGAAUGAUAUGUGUGGGUCAAUUUGACAGCCUGUCGUUGUCAUUUUCUGUAAGCUCACCCUCGCUUUUUACCCUUAUAUCGUUAGAAGUAUGAUUAGACUAAAAAAAUGUCACUCGCGAUGAAAAUCGAACGAAACAACAGCCUUGUUAGAACAUUUUUCACCGACUACCACAGGUAAGUCGCGCACCUUAUGACAGGAGUAGGUUAUCGGAGCGCGCAUGGGCACAUCGUUCACCUUCCCAUUGGUCCGCCCUCUGUUUUAAAUCCAUUUCGAUCCGCGGUCAAGAGAACUGCGAAGAAGUUAAUUCUUUCUGUGGAAAUGGAAUGUCAAAAAGAAACAAAGGACAGUAACUGGAAAAGGGAUUGCUAAAGAGCAAGAGAAGUUAUUUCCUGAAAAUGAAGAAUUAUAUGAAUUUCAUGCCUUUCUUGCUUCUCUUCCUGGUGCAUUUUCCAAAAUGGCGGUGGAAGACUAAUUAUUUUAAGAUCAGGGAAGUUUGCACAGUGCUCAUUAGGCAAACGUUUAUCAAAUGCAGGUCCAGGGCCGGCCCUGAGCCUAGGCAGACUAGGCGGCCCCCUAG